rnacentral:rRNA from 1 species
AUUGAACGCUGGCGGCAGGCCUAACACAUGCAAGUCGAGCGGAUGAGAGGAGCUUGCUUCUUGAUUCAGCGGCGGACGGGUGAGUAAUGCCUAGGAAUCUGCCUGGUAGUGGGGGACAACGUUUCGAAAGGAACGCUAAUACCGCAUACGUCCUACGGGAGAAAGCAGGGGACCUUCGGGCCUUGCGCUAUCAGAUGAGCCUAGGUCGGAUUAGCUAGUUGGUGAGGUAAUGGCUCACCAAGGCGACGAUCCGUAACUGGUCUGAGAGGAUGAUCAGUCACACUGGAACUGAGACACGGCCCAGACUCCUACGGGAGGCAGCAGUGGGGAAUAUUGGACAAUGGGCGAAAGCCUGAUCCAGCCAUGCCGCGUGUGUGAAGAAGGUCUUCGGGUUGUAAAGCACUUUAAGUUGGGAGGAAGGGUUGUACGUUAAUAGCACAGCAUUUUGACGUUACCUACAGAAGAAGCACCGGCUAACUCUGUGCCAGCCGCCGCCGUAAAAC